rnacentral:rRNA from 1 species
CCUACGGGUGGCAGCAGUGGGGAAUAUUGGACAAUGGGGGGAACCCUGAUCCAGCCAUGCCGCGUGUGUGAAGAAGGCCCUCGGGUUGUAAAGCACUUUCAGUGAGGAAGAACGCCUGGUGGUUAAUACCCAUCAGGAAAGACAUCACUCACAGAAGAAGCACCGGCUAACUCCGUGCCAGCAGCCGCGGUAAUACGGAGGGUGCGAGCGUUAAUCGGAAUUACUGGGCGUAAAGCGCGCGUAGGUGGCUUGAUAAGCCGGUUGUGAAAGCCCCGGGCUCAACCUGGGAACGGCAUCCGGAACUGUCAAGCUAGAGUGCAGGAGAGGAAGGUAGAAUUCCCGGUGUAGCGGUGAAAUGCGUAGAGAUCGGGAGGAAUACCAGUGGCGAAGGCGGCCUUCUGGACUGACACUGACACUGAGGUGCGAAAGCGUGGGUAGCAAACAGGAUUAGAUAUCCUGGUAGUC